rnacentral:rRNA from 1 species
GACGAACGCUGGCGGCGUGCUUAACACAUGCAAGUCGAACGGAGCGAAUGAAAGCUUGCUUUUAUGAGCUUAGUGGCAAACGGGUGAGUAACACGUAGACAACCUGCCGACAGGAUGGGGACAACAUUCCGAAAGGAAUGCUAAUACCGAAUGAAGUCGAGGGAAGGCAUCUUCCUUCGAUGAAAGAUGGCCUCUAUUUAUAAGCUAUCACUUGUCGAUGGGUCUGCGUCUGAUUAGCUAGUUGGUGAGGUAACGGCUCACCAAGGCGACGAUCAGUAGCCGGUCUGAGAGGAUGAACGGCCACAUUGGGACUGAGACACGGCCCAGACUCCUACGGGAGGCAGCAGUGGGGAAUCUUCCGCAAUGGGCGCAAGCCUGACGGAGCAACGCCGCGUGAGUGAAGAAGGUCUUCGGAUUGUAAAGCUCUGUUGACGGGGACGAAC